rnacentral:rRNA from 1 species
ACCAAGGUGAUGAUACGUAGCCGAACUGAGAGGUUGAUCGGCCACAUUGGGACUGAGACACGGCCCAAACUCCUACGGGAGGCAGCAGUGGGGAAUCUUCCACAAUGGACGAAAGUCUGAUGGAGCAACGCCGCGUGAAUGAAGAAGGCCUUCGGGUCGUAAAAUUCUGUUGUCUGAGAAGAAUGUGCGUGAGAGUAACUGUUCACGUAUUGACGGUAUCUGACCAGAAAGCCACGGCUAACUACGUGCCAGCAGCCGCGGUAAUACGUAGGUGGCAAGCGUUGUCCGGAUUUAUUGGGCGUAAAGGGAACGCAGGCGGUCUUUUAAGUCUGAUGUGAAAGCCUUCGGCUUAACCGAAGUAGUGCAUUGGAAACUGGAAGACUUGAGUGCAGAAGAGGAGAGUGGAACUCCAUGUGUAGCGGUGAAAUGCGUAGAUAUAUGGAAGAACACCAGUGGCGAAAGCGGCUCUCUGGUCUGUAACUGACGCUGAGGUUCGAAAGCGUGGGUAGCAAACAGGAUUAGAUACCCUGGUAGUCCACGCCGUAAACGAUGAGUGCUAAGUGUUGGAGGGUUUCCGCCCUUCAGUGCUGCAGCUAACGCAUUAAGCACUCCGCCUGGGGAGUACGGUCGCAAGACUGAAACUCAAAGGAAUUGACGGGGGCCCGCACAAGCGGUGGAGCAUGUGGUUUAAUUCGGAGCAACGCGAAGAACCUUACCAGGUCUUGACAUCUUCUGACAAUUCCAGAGAUGGAACGUUCCCUUCGGGGACAGAAUGACAGGUGGUGCAUGGUUGUCGUCAGCUCGUGUCGUGAGAUGUUGGGUUAAGUCCCGCAACGAGCGCAACCCUUAUUGUCAGUUGCCAUCAUUAAGUUGGGCACUCUGGCGAGACUGCCGGUGACAAACCCGAGGAAGGUGGGGAUGACGUCAAAUCAUCAUGCCCCUUAUGACCUGGGCUACACACGUGCUACAAUGGACGGUACAACGAGUCGCUAACUCGCGAGGGCAAGCUAAUCUCUUAAAGCCGUUCUCAGUUCGGAUUGCAGGCUGCAACUCGCCUGCAUGAAGUCGGAAUCGCUAGUAAUCGCGAAUCAGCAUGUCGCGGUGAAUACGUUCCCGGGCCUUGUACACACCGCCCGUCACACCAUGAGAGUUUGUAACACCCAAAGUCGGUGGGGUAACCUUUUGGAGCCAGCCGCCUAAGGUGGGACAGAUGAUUGGGGUGAAGUCGUAAAAGGUA